rnacentral:rRNA from 1 species
GUGGGGAAUAUUAGGCAAUGGGCGAAAGCCUGACCUAGCAACGCCGCGUGAAGGAAGAAGGCCUUCGGGUUGUAAACUUCUUUUAUGAGGGACGAAGGACGUGACGGUACCUCAUGAAUAAGCCACGGCUAACUACGUGCCAGCAGCCGCGGUAAUACGUAGGUGGCGAGCGUUGUCCGGAUUUACUGGGUGUAAAGGGCGCGUAGGCGGACUGGCAAGUCAGAUGUGAAAUACAGGGGCUCAACCCCUGAACUGCAUUUGAAACUGUUGGUCUUGAGUAUCGGAGAGGCAAGCGGAAUUCCUAGUGUAGCGGUGAAAUGCGUAGAUAUUAGGAGGAACACCAGUGGCGAAGGCGGCUUGCUGGACGACAACUGACGCUGAGGCGCGAAAGCGUGGGGAGCAAACAGGAUUAGAUACCCGAGUAGUCC